CCUACGGGCGGCAGCAGUGAGGAAUAUUGGUCAAUGGGCUUACGCCUGAACCAGCCAAGCCGCGUGAGGGAAGAAUGCUCUAUGGGUGGUAAACCCCUUUUGUCAGGGAGCAAAGCCUGCUACGUGUAGCCUAACUGACAGUACCUGACGACAAAGCAGCGGCAACCUCCGUGCCAGCAGCCGCGGUAAUACGGGGGAUGCGAGGGUUCUCCGGAUUUAUGGGGUUUAAGGGGUGCGUGGGGGGAAUGACAAGUCGGCGGUAAAAUCGCGGGGCUAAACCUCGGUCCGCCGUUGAAACUGGCGUUCUGGAGUGGGCGAGAGGUAGGCGGAAUGCGUGGUGUAGCGGUGAAAUGCGUAGAUAUCACGAAGAACUCCGAUUGCGAAGGCAGCAUACCGGAGCGCAACUGACGCUGAAGCACGAAAGCGUGGGGAGCGAACAGGAUUAGAUACCCCAGUAGUC
rnacentral:rRNA from 1 species